GCUUCGGGCUUUUGAGAGUUCAUUCUCACACCUUAACCUCUCUUCUGUGCCAUGCAAACAGUGUGUCAACUAAUGUGGCGCACUUAGCUAAGGCACUCGUCCCGAACCCGAGAGGUCGUGGGAUCGAAUCCGGGGUGGGUAACGUCGAUCCGAUGGAAGUUCCGUUUUGGCCGUUUUGCUUCGUCCCGCUCGUUGCUCUGGCUACAGCCCUUCAGGGCUUGGCCCCGGUAUCGCUGCUUGCAGCUAUAUUAGCGAUUGUUUUUGGUAGAAUUUUCGAGCAAAAACAAUCGAUCACUAUGCCUGCCCUAUGAAGGGAACAUGGGAAAAUGAUGAAAUUUGGCACACUUCUAGAGAUGGUCACCAAUAGUGAUCUGACCAACUUUGGGGUCUGUAAGACCAACUCUAUAGCGCCACCACCAGUUCAAAAAUUCUGUUUUUAAACUUUAAUAACUCCUGAACCCUUUGUUCUAGACAGAUAAAACUUAGUACACAUGAUUACUCUCUUCUUGGAGAUUACAUUCUAUACCUUACAUUAAGUUUCCACCCAUUACAGUAAUUGCUAUUAAUCUAAUUAAGUGUUUCCGUUUAAACGCUACUCCUCCUUCAAAAGUGGUUUGAUUUUUCUGAAAUUUGCCACAGACGAUCUUCGGACCGAGCCGCACAGAAAUGACUGAACAGAUUUUUGAUAUUCGUCUUUGUUCAAAAGUUAUUCAAUUGUGAACAUAACGAGGUCCACCCAAAAUUGGUUAAGAGGCUGUAUCUCGGCCAAACAUUGAUCAAUCGAAACCAAACUUGAUACACUUCAUCAACACCAUGAUCUGAGGGUACAUGCCGAAUUCGGGCACAGCGCCA